CCAGACUCCUACGGGAGGCAGCAGUGAGGAAUAUUGGUCAAUGGCCGCGAGGCUGAACCAGUCAAGUCGCGUGAGGGAUGACGGCCCUACGGGUUGUAAACCUCUUUUGCCGGGGAGCAAAGAGCGGGACGCGUCCCGCCUCGCGAGUACCCGGAGAAAAAGCAUCGGCUAACUCCGUGCCAGCAGCCGCGGUAAUACGGAGGAUGCGAGCGUUAUCCGGAUUUAUUGGGUUUAAAGGGUGCGUAGGCGGACGCUUAAGUCAGCGGUAAAAUUGCGGGGCUCAACCUCGUCGAGCCGUUGAAACUGGGGGCCUUGAGUGGGCGAGAAGUACGCGGAAUGCGUGGUGUAGCGGUGAAAUGCAUAGAUAUCACGCAGAACUCCGAUUGCGAAGGCAGCGUACCGGCGCCCAACUGACGCUGAAGCACGAAGGCGUGGGUAUCGAACAGGAUUAGAUACCCUCGUA
rnacentral:rRNA from 1 species